rnacentral:rRNA from 1 species
CCUCAAGAUAAGAUAUCCCAUAUCGUAAGGUAGUAAGACCCCUUGAAGACAACAAGGUUGAUAGGUCGGAGGUGUAAACGUGGCAACACGUCAGCUGACCGAUACUAAUAGGUCGAGGGCUUGAUCUCA